UACGUAGGGCGCAAGCGUUGUCCGGAAUCAUUGGGCGUAAAGAGCUCGUAGGUGGUCUGUUACGUCUGCUGUGAAAUCCUAGGGCUUAACCCUGGGCCUGCAGUGGAUACGGGCAGACUAGAGGUAGGUAGGGGAGAAUGGAAUUCCCGGUGUAGCGGUGAAAUGCGCAGAUAUCGGGAGGAACACCUGUGGCGAAAGCGGCGCACUGGACCACAACUGACGCUGAGGCGCGAAAGCUAGGGGAGCAAACAGG
rnacentral:rRNA from 1 species